GGAGGGAUCAUUAAGGCUACCGAUCAAGUACUGGGCUUUGCAGCCUGGUUCCACCGUGUGCAUGCGAAAGUUACCCCUUUUUUGGCUAAGACUUAGAGUUUUUAAGGGGACCUUUUUUGGCUCCUCAAAUUUAGCGAGAACGAGGCUCGUUUUUAGCGAGAACUUCGAUUUUUUAGCGAGUAUGAUCCUUAACGAUGGAUGUCUAGGGUUUGAGAUCGUUGAAGAGCGCAGCAAAGCGCGAUAUUCGAUGUGAUUUGCAGAACAUGUGAUGCAUUGGACUCUUGAACGCAUGUGCACUGUAAAUGCCCUGCAUUUGCAGUAUGUCCGGUUGAGUGCGAACAAAAUCUCUUCAACCAGCCUCUUUUUCAUCGAGGCAGCCUCUUUUUCAUCGAGUGCAGCCUCCUUUUUAGCGAGGCAGCCUCUUUUUGAUCGAGUGCAGCCUCUUUUGUGCGAGUGUUGGGUGAUGUUGACGGUGCACUGCUCCGUCUAAGUCGAUUUCUCGAAGUUAAGCAUGUGUGGCUCGCUAAAGUUGGCUUGUUCAGCGAGAACAGAAUGUCGAACACUUCGAUGCUUGAAGUACACCGAUGUUUAUCGUGUCAAGUCUCGAUGUUUGGCUUAACACUUUAUCGAGGCAAAGUGCUCGCACUAGUCUCGAUCAAAAGAAGCAGUUGGGCCUCGAUGCUUUGCGUAACACUUCAUCGUCGUCUUUCUUCGGUGAAGAUGCAAGUUAGAGCCUGAUGUUCAUCGAGGUACACUUACCUCAAACACUUUGCCUCAGCUCGGACAGGACCAUCCGCUAGACUUAAGCAUAUUAUUCAGCGGAAGAAAAGAAAACAACCGUGAUUUCCUCAGUAACUGCGAGUGAAGUGGAAUCAGACCAGGGUGAAUCAGGUGGGUGUGCUCUCAUCCUGAGCUGUGCCCUUUAGAUCAGUGUCGAUGCCCAAUUUUCCAUCAAGUUGGCUGGAAAGCCACACCAAAGAAGGUGACAGUCCUGUUGAAGGAGAACGGUGCUGGGUGUCAUCAGCUGAAUCAACGAGUCGCACUGUCUGGGAGUAUAGUGCAAAUAGGCAGGUAAGUCCCUGCUAAGUCUAAAUAUGGCUCAAACACCGAUAGCGAACAAGUACCACGAGGGAAAGAUGCAAAGAACUCUGAAAAGAGAGUUAAAAGUACCUGAAAUCGUUGAGGAGGAACGAGUGGCAAAUGGCUUGCGUGAAAAAACCGAAUCACUGCGCUGCUGGCGAGGCUAAGUUGCCUAUGGAUGCUCACGGGUGUUCAUCAGGGUGGCUGAACUGAGCCAGUGGAGUGGGCACUUUGGCUAUUUCCAUCCAUGAUCUCUGCAUGUUGAGCUUGUUUGGCUGGAACGAUGCUGCAGCUUGCUGCAGGUUCAAGUUUGGCUGAAACAACUCGAUGUUCUGAGAGGACAAAGAGGUAGCCCUGCGCAGUUUGUGCUGGCUGACUGGUGAUGGUAGGUGAACAUCCUAGAUGUUUGCUUGUCGUUGCUUGUGCGUGCUGGUACUGCUGCUUACCUCUACUGAUCAUGGGAAGAUUGUCACUCCCCCGUCUUGAAACACGGACCAAGGAGUCUAACCUGUGCACGAGUUUAAGGGUCACACACCCGUAAGCGUAGAGAAAUCGAGAGUAGCGAGAUGCUGCUGGCUGUGGCCAGUGGUUGCAUCGCAGGCCCAGCCUGAGAUAAGUUCGAAGGUUUGGAGUCGGAGUGCACAUGUUAGGACCCGAAAGAUUGCGAACUAUGCUUGCAUAGAGUGAAGCCAGGCGAAAGUCUGGUGGAGGCUCGUAGUCGUACUGACGUGAAAAUCGUUGAUCAAAUGUGAGUAUAGCGGCGAAAGACCAAUCGAGCAGUCUAGUAGCUGGUUCCUGC
rnacentral:misc_RNA from 1 species